rnacentral:rRNA from 1 species
GACGAACGCUGGCGGCGUGCCUAAUACAUGCAAGUCGAACGCAGUGGGGACGGGUGAGUAACACGUGGGUCACCUCCCAUCAGAGGGGAUAACACUUGGAAACAGGUCAUAUACCGCUACUGUGGGAGGGACCCGCGGUGCAUUAGCUAGUUGGGGCGGUAACGGCUCACCAAGGCCACGAUGCAUAACGGACCUGAGAGGUGGAGCGGCCACACUGGGACUGAGAAACGGCCCAGACUCCUACGGGAGGCAGCAGUAGGGAAUCUUCGGCAAUGGAGGAAAGUCUGACCGAGCAACGCCGCGUGAGUGAAGAAGGUUUUCGGAUCGUAAAACUCUGUUGUUAGGGAAGCGGUAUCUAACCAGAAAGCCACGGCUAACUACGUGCCAGCAGCCGCGGUAAUAC